rnacentral:rRNA from 1 species
UACGGAGGGUCCGAGCGUUAACCGGAAUUAUUGGGCUUAAAGGGUGCGUAGGCGGAUGGUUAAGUCAGAUGUGAAAGUUUAGGGCUCAACCGUGGAAAUGCAGUUGAAACUGUUGGACUUGAGUAGACAUGAGGUGAGUGGAAUUUGUGGUGUAGCGGUGAAAUGCGUAGAUAUCUGAAAGAACUCCAGUUGCGAAGGCAACUCCCUGGAGUAAAACUGACGCUGAGGCACGAAAGUGUGGGUAUCAAACAGG